AUACGUAGGGUGCAAGCGUUAAUCGGAAUUACUGGGCGUAAAGCGUGCGCAGGCGGUUUUGUAAGACAGAGGUGAAAUCCCCGGGCUCAACCUGGGAACUGCCUUUGGGACUGCCAGGCUAGAGUACGGCAGAGGGGGGUGGAAUUCCGCGUGUAGCAGUGAAAUGCGUAGAUAUGCGGAGGACAACCGAUGGCGAAGGCAAUCCCCUGGGCCUGUAGUGACGCUCAUGCACGAAAGCGUGGGGAGCAAACAGGGUUAGAUCCCCUGGUAGUCCACGCCCUAAACGAUGUCAACUGGUUGUUGGGUCUUCAUUGACUCAGUAACGAAGCUAACGCGUGAAGUUGACCGCCUGGGGAGUACGGUAGCAAGGUUGAAACUCAAAUGAAUUGACGGGG
rnacentral:rRNA from 1 species